AGGGCGGAAGUGGGUGCGGUCAGGUAGAUACCAUGGCUGAAGCUAGGGGAGUACACAUCUGAUGUGAAUCGAAGUAGAGGAGAUGUCAGUGAUGCCUGGGAGGAGCAAGAUCAGAUGGCUCUCCUGUCUUCUGCUUCUGGGCUCUCAGCUUUUGUGAAACCUUCCACCUCUGCUCCGCUGCAGCCAUUAAGUGGGCCUCCUCAUCACCUACCCUUUCUCUCUCUCUUGUAGAAAGGACUUGGAUCCCUUUCUAGUUGACUAUCAACAGCUGGAGGACAAGUUUUGUGGGCAAGAUGUCUUCACCACAGAAAAACUGUGAAGCUCCAGGAGCUGCCUCUGUGUAAGCUGUAUGCUGACAGAUGAAGCCUCCCCAAGGAAGAAGAGCUGGACUUCUAGCACACAGCUUCCAGAGAACCUUUGGUCUGUCUAUCCCCACUCAAGUGCUGCCCCCUGCCAAGAGAUGAGGGCCCCUAGCUCAAACACAAGGAAAUCCAGGUCUAAAGAAGAAGCCAGAGAAGGAGCAGGGCAGUGGAAGACAGAGAGGUGAGGAAAGGCCAGCACCUGACAUCAUGACAUUGUGCUUCUAAGGAAAAAAUCUCCAGGGUGCGAGGCAGACAACAUGGUGUGUGCUGUCUUGGUUUUACUAUGGCAAGGAAGGUAAUGCUCCUUCAAUUGUCUGUUUGGCAUCAGCUCUCGAGGAACAGUAUCAAUGAUAGACAACAGACGCUAGGGGCCCUGGUGACAGAUGAGAAUGGAAAUUACACCUGAGAGUCACAAUACCCAGUUGAGAGAUGAAAAGUUUGAAGUCUUAUAUGUCAAAAUGAAGUGAUACUUGAGUUGCGAUGAGGAAAAUGACAAAAAGAACCAAAUAGAUGAAGUUCACCAAAUAGAAGAAGAAGUUUGUUUAGAAAAUGUGCAUAUGUAUGAUUUUCUUAUAAUAUCUUUGUCUAGGUUUGGUGUCUAAGAAAGGCUAGGUUCAUAGACUGAGUUCAUUUUUCCUUAGGAAUUUGUCCAAACUUGGGCUCUAGUGAUGGGUCAGUCUGACCUAGAAACACAAGGACCUGACUGAGUCUGAUUCCCAGAACCCAUUUAAAGAUGCCAGGUGUGAUAGUCCCAUUUGAAAUCCCAUUUCUAACAAGUGAAAGAAAAGAGGGUCCUGAGAAUCACUGGACAACCAGUCUAGCUGCAGUGAUCAAUUCAGGCUAGGGAGAGACCCUGUGUCAAACAAGGUAGAUAGACAGCAUUCUUGAGGAUGACACCUAAGUACAUACAUUAAUGUAUACUACCAGUACACAGACAAACUAUACACAUGAACAUGUUAGUACAUGCAAAAUGCACACACACACACACACACACACACACACACACACACACACACACACACAUUUGUCCAAACUGAUUUAAUUUUUUAUUAGCAUUUGGGAAAUUUCACUAGGCUCAGGGCUGAUAGUUCCUUUAGUGGAAGGUUUUACAUACAGUCAGUUUUUAGUUUUCUAAGGUAGACAAGGGAUGGUAUAUUCAGGCUAUCUAGUUUUUCCUUGAAUGCUAAUUGGUCAUGUGUCUUCUGAGGAAUCUGCCCUUUCUUUCUUAGGUGUCUCAAUUAUCAUAAACUCAUUUAUAACAAC